rnacentral:tRNA from 1 species
GGUCGCUUAGCUCAGCUGGGAGAGCACCUGCCUUACAAGCAGGGGGUCAUUGGUUCGAGCCCAAUAGCGACCACCA